CGGGGCCUGGAGGAGGUGGCCUGACUUCAGACGCACAGUCAGCACUGAGGGACAAAGUCCACUUAUGUGGAAGUGGGAUCAGUAACAGAGGGGCCAUUUUGAAUCUGUGGUCAAAGGAAAUGACUGGUCUGAAGCGGCUUGGCAGCCUGAGCAGUCAGGUACUGCGGCUCUACUGGCACUGCCUGAGGGUGAGUUCGCUUGAAGUAGGUCCAAGGACUGUGGUGAUUCUCAUGGAGGACCCUGAGAUUUCUGCAAUCUGAUCAGUGUCAAAUGCCACUGGAUUCGCUCUGAGACUCUUGCCCUAGAGGAUGGCCAAAGGGCUCCUGAUGACCUAUGCCCUUUGGGCUUUUGGGGGCCCUGUUGGACUACACCACCUGUAUCUGGGAAGGGACAGCCAUGCCCUGCUCUGGAUGCUCACCCUGGGAGGUGGUGGGUUGGGCUGGCUCUGGGAAUUCUGGAAGCUUCCAAGCUUUGUGGCUCAAGCCAACGGAGUCCAGAGCUGGAAACAGAGGCCAGAAGAGGAGAGACCCCCUCUGAGUCUCCUUCGCUUUGCUUCCCAGAUGGUAGUAGGUGUCUAUUUUGGUCUCGUGGCUCUGAUCAGCCUUUCUUCCACAGCCAACUUCUAUAUAGUGGGCCUCCCACUGGCCGUUGGCUUAGGGGUCUUGCUGGUAGCUGCUGUUGGUAACCAGACCUCAGACUUUAAGAACACCUUAGGAGCAGCCU
rnacentral:lncRNA from 1 species